rnacentral:rRNA from 1 species
GAUGAACGCUGGCGGCGUGCCUAAUACAUGCAAGUCGAGCGAACAGACGAGGAGCUUGCCCCUCUGACGUUAGCGGCGGACGGGUGAGUAACACGUGGAUAACCUACCUAUAAGACUGGGAUAACUUCGGGAAACCGGAGCUAAUACCGGAUAAUAUAUUGAACCGCAUGGUUCAAUAGUGAAAGACGGUUUUGCUGUCACUUAUAGAUGGAUCCGCGCCGCAUUAGCUAGUUGGUAAGGUAACGGCUUACCAAGGCGACGAUGCGUAGCCGACCUGAGAGGGUGAUCGGCCACACUGGAACUGAGACACGGUCCAGACCCCUACGGGAGGCAGCAGUAGGGAAUCUUCCGCAAUGGGCGAAAGCCUGACGGAGCAACGCCGCGUGAGUGAUGAAGGUCUUCGGAUCGUAAAACUCUGUUAUUAGGGAAGAACAAAUGUGUAAGUAACUAUGCACGUCUUGACGGUACCUAAUCAGAAAGCCACGGCUAACUACGUG